rnacentral:rRNA from 1 species
UACGGGGGGGGCAAGCGUUGUUCGGAAUUACUGGGCGUAAAGCGUGCGCAGGCGGUUUUGUAAGCCAGAUGUGAAAGCCCCGGGCUCAACCUGGGAAUGGCAUUUGGGACUGCAAGGCUUGAGUGCGGCAGAGGAGACUGGAAUUCCUGGUGUAGCAGUGAAAUGCGUAGAUAUCAGGAGGAAUACCGAUGGCGAAGGCAGGUCUCUGGGCUGACACUGACGCUCAUGCACGAAAGCGUGGGGAGCAAACAGG